AUGUUUAAAAAAGAUGUUUUCUCCAAAUCUGAGCAGGGCAUAAUUACCAUUACAACCCUACCCCUAGCCACUGUAUUUUUCUUUUCUUUUUCUCUUGUCUUUUUAUUCUCUUCUCCGUUGGUUUUGUAUCAGAUUCAGUGCUCUUUUACCUCCCAUUUUUCAAUUAAUGCUUCUUUUUGUUUUUCCCUUCAAAUUUCUCACUGUAUCAUCUUUUUCUUACUUUUCCCCCUUUUCUCUUCAUUUGACCUAAAUCAAUUCCAUUUUUUCCGUGAUCGAUUGCACCCUAAUUCACCGUACUCUCUUCUCUAA